rnacentral:rRNA from 1 species
CAGCCUGCCCAGUGACUACGGGUUCAACGGCCGCGGUAUUUUGACCGUGCAAAGGUAGCGCAAUCACUUGUCUCUUAAAUAGAGACCUGUAUGAAUGGCUAGACGAGGGCUUAACUGUCUCCCCCCUCCAGUCAGUGAAAUUGAUCUAUCCGUGCAGAAGCGGGUAUAAUUAUACAAGACGAGAAGACCCUUUGGAGCUUAAGGUACAAGAUUCAACCACGUUAAACGACUCUAUAAGAAGCAAGAACUUAGUGGCGAAUGAAACUUUACCUUCGGUUGGGGCGACCACGGAGGAAAAAGAAGCCUCCGAGUGGAUUGGGCCAAACCCCAAAGCCAAGAGAGACAUCUACAAGCCGCAGAACAUCUGACCAAAAAUGAUCCGGCUGAAAGGCCGAUCAACGAACCAAGUUACCCUAGGGAUAACAGCGCAAUCCUCUCCCAGAGUCCAUAUCGACGAGGGGGUUUACGACCUCGAUGUUGGAUCAGGACAUCCUAAUGGUGCAGCCGCUAU